GGGCAGAUACCGAAGUGGUUAAACGGGACUGACUGUAGAUCAGUUGGCCUAGCGCCUUCGGGGGUUCGAAUCCUCCUCUGCCCA
rnacentral:tRNA from 1 species